UCUCAGACUGCCCGUGCCCUUGAAUUUCCUAUUUAAAUAUCUGGCUUCUCCCUGAAAAAGUAGACACUGUGACACCUUUGUUCUAUUUCCAGGGCCUGGAACAACAGAUAUUUGUUGAAUGAAUUAAAUUUAGGUAGUUUAAUUCAUGAUCAUCUACAACAAAAUCAUAACUACUGCUUAUUUGUUCAACACGUUGGUUCACAGUUCUGCAGGCUUUACAGGAAGUACAGUGUCACCAUCUGCUUGGCCUCUGGGGAGGCUUCAGCCAUCACAAUCAUGGCAAAAGGUGAAGGGGGAGCAUACAUGUCACAUGGACAAAGCAGAAACAAGGAGGCAGGAGGGGCCACACACUUUUAAACAACCAGAUCCAGCAAGAACUCACUCACUAUCAUGAGGACAGUCCCAAGAGGAAUGGUGCUAAACCAUCCAUGAGAAAUCCACCCCCAUGAUCCACUCGCCUCCCACCAGGCCCCACCUCCAGCACUGGGGAUUACAAUCCAACAUGAGACUUGUGUGGGGACAUAGAUCCAAACCAUAUCAAUACCGUACUUGGCUUUCUGCCAAAAUCUUUAACAUCAAGAGAGUGGGUGCAGCAACACUGGGACCUACGCCAUAGAAAAGGUAUUAACGGGCUUAAAUCCAGGAAGCAUGCACCGGACAAAAAUGGGACACAAAAGAUUAUCUGAACCUCGAUGAACCGCUGCUGAGUGCUUAUCUGCAUUCGGCAGUUCAGAGUUGAGGACCACUUUUCAAACUUCAUAAUUAGUAUGUAUUGCACAUGGCAGUUCUAAAAGUGCUUUCAAAUGCAUUAUCUUGCAUAAAUAGCUAAACAAAAUGAUCAAAAGUCAACUAGAUGGGAAUAAGGCGCUUUUAAAGUUCUGAAUGAAGAGUUUUAGAGGCAUAUUUUUAUUAUGAAAGUAUAACAUAUUUUAGAAGAAUAUUUGAGUAACUAAUUCCCAUAAAAAUAGACAAGUCAAAUGCAUACUGAUUAAUGCAGUGAAUUAAGUAUCCCCAACUGUAAGUAUGAUUCAACAUCAUAUUCCCUGGGAAUGUAUUUGGACUUGAAAUUAUCCAUUGAACAACAUAUUUUCAUUCAAAAACAUAUUGAAAUGUAAGCAGCUCUCAUAACGCUUGCUUUUAGAAUCAUCGAGUUUUGGCUUUUGGAAAUUACUUCUCCCAUAGCAAGCAGAAGAGGGAGCAAAGGGCCUCCAGAGAGAGCACACUCCUGAAAGGAAGAGACAGAAUCUCAGUGAAGCAACAUCAGUGAUCAGAUGUUUCCUCUGGACAACACAUCCAUAGUUGUUGGCUCCAAAAGCAGCGUUUCCUGCAGAAAAUCAAGUACAUUUCUCCCAGAUGCAGAGUGUGGCUUCAUGUCCCAUCCCUGGUUUUAUUAAACGUGGCAUGAGCCCUGGAUGAAAAUCAAGCCUGGCCUAGCAGGGGACUGAGUCAUUAAAUAUCGCCACUGUUAACAUCCACAUGG
rnacentral:lncRNA from 10 species